AUUGAACGCUGGCGGCAGGCCUAACACAUGCAAGUCGAACGGUAACAGGAAACAGCUUGCUGUUUCGCUGACGAGUGGCGGACGGGUGAGUAAUGUCUGGGAAACUGCCUGAUGGAGGGGGAUAACUACUGGAAACGGUAGCUAAUACCGCAUAACGUCGCAAGACCAAAGAGGGGGACCUUCGGGCCUCUUGCCAUCGGAUGAGCUCAGAUGGGAUUAGCUAGUAGGUGGGGUAACGGCUCACCUAGGCGACGAUCCCUAGCUGGUCUGAGAGGAUGACCAGCCACACUGGAACUGAGACACGGUCCAGACUCCUACGGGAGGCAGCAGUGGGGAAUAUUGCACAAUGGGCGCAAGCCUGAUGCAGCCAUGCCGCGUGUAUGAAGAAGGCCUUCGGGUUGUAAAGUACUUUCAGCGGGGAGGAAGAGAGUAAAGUUAAUACCUUUGCUCAUUGACGUUACCCGCAGAAGAAGCACCGGCUAACUCCGUGCCAGCAGCCGCAGUAA
rnacentral:rRNA from 1 species